rnacentral:rRNA from 1 species
AUGACCUCGAAUCAGGUAGGGUUACCCGCUGAACUUAAGCAUAUCAAUA